rnacentral:rRNA from 1 species
ACUCAAAUGAAUUGACGGGGGCUCACACAAGCGGUGGAGCAUGUGGCUUAAUUCGAGGCUACGCGCAGAACCUUAUCCCGGGCUUGACAUGCACGGAUUAGCCGGCGGAAACGUCGGUGAGGCCGCGAGGUACAACGUGCACAGGUGCUGCAUGGCUGUCGUCAGCUCGUGCCGUGAGGUGUUGGGUUAAGUCCCGUAACGAGCGAAACCCUUGUCCUUAGUUGCCAGCACGUCAUGGUGGGCACUCUAAGGAGACCGCCGGCGUCAAGCCGGAGGAAGGCGGGGACGACGUCAAGUCCUCAUGGCCCUUAUGCCCGGGGCUGCACACGUGCUACAAUGGGCCGGACAGAGCGUCGCGAGUACGCAAGUGCAAGCUAAUCGCAAAAACCGGCCCCCAGUUCGGAUCGCGGGCUGCAACCCGCCCGCGUGAAGCCGGAAUCGCUAGUAAUCGCGGAUCAGCACUGCCGCGGUGAAUGGGUUCCUGAGCCUUGUACACACCGCCCGU